GAUCAUGGCUCAGAUUGAACGCUGGCGGCAGGCCUAACACAUGCAAGUCGAACGGUAACAGGAAGCAGCUUGCUGCUUUGCUGACGAGUGGCGGACGGGUGAGUAAUGUCUGGGAAACUGCCUGAUGGAGGGGGAUAACUACUGGAAACGGUAGCUAAUACCGGAUAACGUCGCAAGACCAAAGAGGGGGACCUUCGGGCCUCUUGCCAUCGGAUGUGCCCAGAUGGGAUUAGCUAGUAGGG
rnacentral:rRNA from 1 species